UACGGGGGGGGUAAGCGUUGUUCGGAAUUACUGGGCGUAAAGGGCUCGUAGGCGGCCAACUAAGUCAUACGUGAAAUCCCUCAGCUUAACUGGGGAACUGCGUGUGAUACUGGAUGGCUUGGAUUUGGGAGAGGGAUGCGGAGUUCCAGGUGUAGCGGUGAAAUGCGUAGAUAUCUGGAGGAACACCGGUGGCGAAGGCGGCAUCCUGGAUCAAUAUUGACGCUGAGGAGCGAAAGCUAGGGGAGCAAACGGG
rnacentral:rRNA from 1 species